GUGCCAGCAGCCGCGGCAAUACGGAGGAGGCAAGCGUUAUCCGGAAUUAUUGGGCGUAAAGCGUCCGUAGGUGGUUGGCCAAGUCUGCUGUCAAAGGGUGGGGCUUAACCUCAUAAAGGCAGUGGAAACUGGCGAUCUAGAGUGCGGUAGGGGUAGGGGGAAUUCCCAGUGUAGCGGUGAAAUGCGUAGAGAUUGGGAAGAACAUCGGUGGCGAAAGCGCCUUACUGGGCCUGCACUGACACUGAGGGACGAAAGCUAGGGGAGCGAAAGGGAUUAGAUACCCCUGUAGUCCUAGCUGUAAACGAUGGGUACUAGGUGUUGCCCGUAUCGACCCGGGCAGUGCCGUAGCUAACGCGUUAAGUACCCCGCCRGGGAGUACGCACGCAAGUGUGAAACUCAAAUGAAUUGACGG
rnacentral:rRNA from 1 species